rnacentral:rRNA from 1 species
CACGUAAGGGGCGAGCGUUGUUCGGAAUUAUUGGGCGUAAAGGGCACGCAGGCGGUUAUACAAGUCCGAUGUGAAAUCUCCGGGCUCAACUCGGAAUACGCGUUGGAAACUGUAUGACUAGAGUAUUAGAGGGGGAGUCGGAAUUCCUAGUGUAGGGGUGAAAUCUGUUGAUAUUAGGAAGAACACCGGUGGCGAAGGCGGACUCCUGGCUGAAUACUGACGCUGAGGUGCGAAAGCAUAGGGAGCAAACAGG